AGAUUGGAAAGGUUCGGAGGCGUUGAGGAAAGGAAAGGCAUUGGAGAAGUAGCUUGCCUGACGUCAGUUCUUCGGUGGAGCAAGUGUACCAUCGACUUCGACUCGCCCUCAGCUCUAGCCAAUCUCCAGCACAUCAGAUUUCAGGAUGGUCAGAACUAGAGCAACAGGUGUGACAACACCAACCCCGGCAAGACAGGGUAUGCCUGAGCCAACCGUUGGGGCUGCAGCUCGAAGGGGAGCAGUGGCAAGAGGCCGUGGUAGAGGUCGCGGGAGAAGGCCCACUAGAGGCAGAGGACAAACACCUGGUUCAGCUAGGA